rnacentral:rRNA from 1 species
AUUGAACGCUGGCGGCAUGCCUUACACAUGCAAGUCGAACGGCAGCACGGGAGCAAUCCUGGUGGCGAGUGGCGAACGGGUGAGUAAUAUAUCGGAACGUGCCCAGUCGUGGGGAUAACGUAGCGAAAGCUACGCUAAUACCGCAUACGAUCUAUGGAUGAAAGCGGGGGAUCGCAAGACCUCGCGCGAUUGGAGCGGCCGAUAUCAGAUCAGGUAGUUGGUGAGGUAAAGGCUCACCAAGCCGACGAUCUGUAGCUGGUCUGAGAGGACGACCAGCCACACUGGGACUGAGACACGGCCCAGACUCCUACGGGAGGCAGCAGUGGGGAAUUUUGGACAAUGGGCGAAAGCCUGAUCCAGCCAUGCCGCGUGCAGGAUGAAGGCC